GGAGACUCUAAGACUUCUGAAGAGUUUCUUGCUUCUUUCCUGUGGGGCAGUGACUCCACUUCCCAGCAGUAAUGGAAUAUCCUGAAUUAGCUACAUUAAUGUUAGAACCAUUUGGACCUCACCCAGGACUUCAACUACAUUAUGCUAAAGUUACAGAACCCAAAUUUGGCAACUGUCUGCAUCUGAACAACAGAAGUUUCAACAUUCUGCCAACAGAGUAACUCCUGGACGAUUGGCACAGAAGAAGGCACAAGGCAAAUACCCAUCUCUGUACACCCUGUGCUACUGUGUCAUGUGCUGCUCCAGGCAACUCCAAUGGAUUGGCCACCCUGGCCAAUGUGUUCUAGUAUGUUACGUUUAUGUUCCCCUGCUUUCUACAAUCCUGUUCAAAGAGUUGCUGACUUAACCACAGAGAGGAUUCCAGAACCUGAGACACAGAAUAAACUUGAGCAAUCAUAGUCCAUCCACUUCAUUGUCUCAUCAAAAACCAAAGGUCCAGUGAAGCUCUGGAACUCAACGCUGUAAAGGAGCGAAGGAGCUUCUAUACAGAGCCUGGAUGCCUGUCUCCUUAUCCUACUUCAGUGGACUUGACUGCAAUCCGGAUUAUGCUGUUUUCUAAGCAUUUAAAAUAAAAUAAAAAGUAUAA
rnacentral:lncRNA from 1 species